GUUGGCGGACACAACAUCUUUGUUGGAUUAUACCCAGCACCUUGAAUUUGUGAGGAUCAUGUUUACUGUAAAGGGGGCCACCUGAAUUCCUCCCUUU